rnacentral:lncRNA from 1 species
CCUCAGUGGGGUGAGCUUAGCAGAAGCCGCCAGGGAAUGACUCCCUGGAGCCAGAGUGCCCCAGACAGCCCAGCUCGGGGCUUCAGGGGCCCUGGCCGCCUCCCAGGCACUUAUUUUAUGUUCAGAAAGAGCAAAGCUGACAGGUAAUAAAUGGAUGAGGAGGACUGGAGUGGGCUCUGACUGUCUGCCCGGCGCCUGCCCAGCCAGCCCGCCAUACCCACCACCACCCUCUCAGGGGGAUGAAAGCACCAUUAAUUACCCAGGAAGAAAGGGCACCAUGAGGACGCACCCAGUGUUGCUUGGGGACAUCAUCUAUGGUGGCAUUUUCUGAGAGAAGCACCAAGCCUGAAGCUUGGCUGUCACCCCCACCACCCUCUGCCAUCAGCCGGCCAGGCUUUCCUUCUCCCCAGGUACCCCAGGGCGCCUUCCAACUUGGGUCCUGCCCUCAAAGCCUCUUCACCUGUCCAGUGUCCCUGAGGGAUUGCUUUUUGCAGUCGGUGCCAACAGUUCUCCAAACGGGAGCUCAAGCCACCGCCCCACUUGCCCUGUGAAGAAGAAACCGUUAUCAUCACAUUUUACAGACCAGGUAACUGAGGCUCAGAGAGACAGAGGGAUGCUGGCACCCAAGCCUGACGAGACCCACAAAGGAUGUUCCCUGAAGCAGAACCCCCACGGAGGGGUGGCUAAGUCAAUCUCAUACUGCAGAAAGUUCUACGCAGCAGAUAGAAACAGUGAGGUGGAAUUCUACAGCUGAACUAGAAAAAUGUGUCCAAAUAUCUUACUGAACGAAAGAAGCAAGUUGUAGAACGACACAUGACUUUAAAAAAGAAAUUUAAACGGAAUCAUAUUAUUCUAUGGAUAUAUACAUGUGCAUGAAAGUGCAAGGCAGCACUGAGAAAAAUGCCCUCCAAAUGCCUCCCACGCACUGGCUAGACUCUGCUGCCGGGGGCCCACCCCAACUCUGCCCCAGCCCUAGCCCAGCCCCGCUCUUCAUACACAGGAAGAUCAUGACCCACCGACUCUCACAUCCUGCUGCCAGGAGAGUACACAGCCACAGUCUUUGCAGAGAGUGAGUGGGCAACAUGGAUCAAAAGUUAAAAAUCCAUAAACAUCCAUUUUAAAUUCAUAGAUUCUCCUUCUACAUGCUAUCCUUCAGAUAAACUCUCACAAGCGUGUAAGAACAGAUGUACAAGGAUGUUUAUGCACUUCGGUUUGAAGCAGCAGACAAAAAAAAAAAAAAGCACCAAAACUGUAAACAACGUCUGUGUCCGUCACAGGGGGCCUGGUUGAAUAAAUUAUAGUCUCUCCUGAAAAUGGAAUCCUGUGUGACUGUUCUGCAGCGCGAGGUGGAAAUGUGUAUACCGACACCGUGGACUUCGAGGUGAAGAUGCACGGGAUACUUCAGGAUAUGUGGGAUGAUCUCCUGGGUGGAUAGAUUCUUACAUAUGCUUCUGUGUGUGUGUGUGUGUGUGU